AUUCAGUGUAAAAGAAAGCGCAGCUGUAUGUUGAUCGUCCGUCUUAUUUAAAACUUUUCUAUGUGAGUAUUAUUAUUAUUAGAUUAUAAAACAUGAAUAUAGUUAUUAUUUUUACUUUUUAUUUUACAAAAAUUAAAUAAGACGGACGAUUAAAGUUGUGCACGAAAAUUUAUGGGUGCGCUUAUU
rfam:Oryza barthii chromosome 5, whole genome shotgun sequence.